UUGACUUCAAAGGACUGAUAUUUGAGAAAUUUUAAACUUGUCACUCACAGCCAUAGAAACUGGGCCAAUUGGAGGUUCAGUGGGUUUUUAAAAUCUAAAAUCUAAAAAGCUGUAUUUUAGAAGAGAAUUCAUUUCUCCAUGGGUGACAUCUUUGCACUGAUAAAUUAUUAUGAUCAUUAAAGAGAGAAAAGAUAUUUUUCCCUAAAUUUGUUCAAAGCUCCUGGGUUCCAGCCUUAGAGGAACCACAUACUUAAUGGCGCCUCCUGUGGCAGCCCGUGUAGGUUGACUCACCCUGACUCACCCCCGAUGGUGGGACAAAAUGUAUUUGUAUUAUUAUUAUGAAAUGUGUGAAAAUCUAUCUAUAAUAUUAGUACCGUGCAAAAGUAUAAGUUAUCAUUUUAUUUUUUUUUAUUUUUUCAGAAGAGACUGGUUUUGAAAAUAACAGAUAAAAACCAAACUUUUUGCCUCUUCUACUGCUUGAAGGCAGGAGAUAAGAGAAUUAACAGUGCAGCAAAUUCCAACACGAAAAGACAAUGGACCCAGACUUAUCAUCAAACCCUCAGUUUCCCCCACAAGAACAGCUUGGUAACAUCUCUGUCAGCAAAACGUCUGAAACGUGCAAGCACCAGAAGCACAAACUCAAGGACAGAGUAGAAGGGCAGGGGAAGCGGGGAGAGCAACGGACGUACAUUACAGGAAAGACUGGUAUUAACAGUCCAAUUUCCAACACUGCCAAUCACAGAUAAGGCUGUCACUCAGGCCGUUUGGAGAGAAGCUACUGUUCCAUUUUCAGUCGUGUGUUAACCCUUUCACGGUACAUUUAGAAUUAAAGAUCUUCUACUUGCAGAGCUGAUAAGACAGCAGAUGGAGAAGAGAGCAGAACGACUGGGGGCUGCUGGGGUCUAUGCUGAAGCCCAGAGCUGAACUACAUGAAUGGCAGUAAAGGAAUAGCGUGUUGCUAUUUGGGAAUUUCCACAGCGACUGCUACGCAGCAGCAGCAGUACGACGUCUGCAUGGUCACAGGCUGAUGCUACAUGCAGGGCGGUCCACAGGUCUUCAUCCUGCAGGUUGACAUUCAGGCCUCGCUCGAUCAGAAGCUCGGCCACAAACACGUUGUCAUGACGAGCACACUGCAAAGUUUGUGUGUGUGAGUCUCACCAAGUGGAGCAGGGAUCCUCCAGAAGAGAUGAGACAGUUGUGAUUGGCUCCCGCUUUCAGGAGACGCAGCACUGCAAUAAAACGACAUCAGUGCGUUAACACCUGCUGCGAGGGGAAUG